rnacentral:rRNA from 1 species
UACAGAGGGUGCAAGCGUUGUUCGGAAUUAUUGGGCGUAAAGCGCGUGUAGGCGGCUUUGCAAGUCGGGUGUGAAAGCCCUCAGCUCAACUGAGGAAGUGCGCCCCGAAACUGCAGAGCUUGAGUACCGGGAGAGGAUGGUGGGAAUUCCCCCAAGUAGAGGUGAAAAUUCGUAGAUAUGGGGGAGGAACACCGGUGGCGAAGGCGGCCAUCUGGACGGUAACUGGACGCUGAGACGCGAAAGCGUGGGUAGCAAACAGG